CCAGGAGAGACUGAGAGAGACCAGGAGAGACUGAGACACCAGGAGAGACAAGUCAAGUCUAAUCAGUCACAACAGAGCAAGAGAGUCUAGUAGAGUCUGGACCGGACCAGUAGAGACCAGUACAGACUAGACCAGACCAGGUCCAGGUCUCUAGGGGGUCCGGGUCUCUAGGGGGUCCGGGUCUCUAGGGGGUCUGGGUCUCUAGGGGGUCCGGGUCUCUAGGGGGUCCGGGUCUUGGGUCUCCUGGCUGAGCGGAGACUGUCUUGUGAUGAAGAGGAGGAUCAGAGGAUGAAGAACAGCAUCAGGACCACCAGGAGGAUGAGGAGCAGGACCCCGAUCGCACACCACUGGC